GCCCACGUAGCUCAGCGGAUAGAGCACCAGCGGGUUGUCGGAGGUUCGAGUCCUUCCGUGGGCG
rnacentral:tRNA from 1 species